rnacentral:rRNA from 1 species
AACGAACGCUGGCGGCAUGCCUAACACAUGCAAGUCGAACGAGACCUUCGGGUCUAGUGGCGCACGGGUGCGUAACGCGUUGGAAUCUGCCCUUGGGUUCGGAAUAACAGUUGGAAACGACUGCUAAUACCGGAUGAUGACGUAAGUCCAAAGAUUUAUCGCCCAAGGAUGAGCCCGCGUAGGAUUAGCUAGUUGGUGAGGUAAAGGCUCACCAAGGCGACGAUCCUUAGCUGGUCUGAGAGGAUGAUCAGCCACACUGGGACUGAGACACGGCCCAGACUCCUACGGGAGGCAGCAGUGGGGAAUAUUGGACAAUGGGCGAAAGCCUGAUCCAGCAAUGCCGCGUGAGUGAUGAAGGCCUUAGGGUUGUAAAGCUCUUUUACCCGGGAUGAUAAUGACAGUACCGGGAGAAUAAGCUCCGGCUAACUCCGUG